rnacentral:rRNA from 1 species
UACGUAGGGUGCGAGCGUUAAUCGGAAUUACUGGGCGUAAAGCGUGCGCAGGCGGCUUUGCAAGACAGAUGUGAAAUCCCCGGGCUCAACCUGGGAACUGCAUUUGUGACUGCAAGGCUAGAGUACGGCAGAGGGGGAUGAAUUCCGCGUGUAGCAGUGAAAUGCGUAGAUAUGCGGAGGAACACCGAUGGCGAAGGCAAUCCCCUGGGCCUGUACUGACGCUCAUGCACGAAAGCGUGGGGAGCAAACAGG